rnacentral:rRNA from 1 species
UACAGGGGGUGCAAACGUUGCUCGGAAUCAUUGGGCGUAAAGCGCACGUAGGCGGUUCGUUAUGUCGGAUGUGAAAGCCCUGGGCUCAACCCAGGAAGUGCACUCGAAACUGCGAGGCUAGAGUACUGGAGAGGUUGGUGGAAUUCUCGGUGUAGAGGUGAAAUUCGUAGAUAUCGAGAGGAACACCGGUGGCGAAGGCGGCCAACUGGACAGAUACUGACGCUGAGAACUCGAAAGCGUGGGGAGCAAACAGG